rnacentral:rRNA from 1 species
CGGCAGCGGGGGUAGCUUGCUACCUGCCGGCGAGUGGCGAACGGGUGAGUAAUACAUCGGAACGUGCCCUGUAGUGGGGGAUAACUAGUCGAAAGACUAGCUAAUACCGCAUACGACCUGAGGGUGAAAGUGGGGGACCGCAAGGCCUCAUGCUAUAGGAGCGGCCGAUGUCUGAUUAGCUAGUUGGUGGGGUAAAGGCCCACCAAGGCGACGAUCAGUAGCUGGUCUGAGAGGACGAUCAGCCACACUGGGACUGAGACACGGCCCAGACCCUACGGGAGGCAGCAGUGGGGAAUUUUGGACAAUGGGGGCAACCCUGAUCCAGCAAUGCCGCGUGUGUGAAGAAGGCCUUCGGGUUGUAAAGCACUUUUGUCCGGAAAGAAAUCGCUUCGGUUAAUACCUGGAGUGGAUGACGGUACCGGAAGAAUAAGGACCGGCUAACUACGUGCCAGCAGCCGCGGUAAUACGUAGGGUCCAAGCGUUAAUCGGAAUUACUGGGCGUAAAGCGUGCGCAGGCGGUUGUGCAAGACCGAUGUGAAAUCCCCGGGCUUAACCUGGGAAUUGCAUUGGUGACUGCACGGCUAGAGUGUGUCAGAGGGAGGUAGAAUUCCACGUGUAGCAGUGAAAUGCGUAGAGAUGUGGAGGAAUACCGAUGGCGAAGGCAGCCUCCUGGGAUAACACUGACGCUCAUGCACGAAAGCGUGGGGAGCAAACAGGAUUAGAUACCCUGGUAGUCCACGCCCUAAACGAUGUCAACUAGUUGUUGGGGAUUCAUUUCCUUAGUAACGUAGCUAACGCGUGAGUUGACCGCCUGGGGAGUACGGUCGCAAGAUUAAAACUCAAAGGAAUUGACGGGGACCCGCACAAGCGGUGGAUGAUGUGGAUUAAUUCGAUGCAACGCGAAAAACCUUACCUACCCUUGACAUGCCACUAACGAAGCAGAGAUGCAUUAGGUGCUCGAAAGAGAAAGUGGACACAGGUGCUGCAUGGCUGUCGUCAGCUCGUGUCGUGAGAUGUUGGGUUAAGUCCCGCAACGAGCGCAACCCUUGUCUCUAGUUGCUACGAAAGGCCACUCUAGAGAGACUGCCGGUGACAAACCGGAGGAAGGUGGGGAUGACGUCAAGUCCUCAUGGCCCUUAUGGGUAGGGCUUCACACGUCAUACAAUGGUGCAUACAGAGGGUUGCCAAGCCGCGAGGUGGAGCUAAUCCCAGAAAAUGCAUCGUAGUCCGGAUCGUAGUCUGCAACUCGACUACGUGAAGCUGGAAUCGCUAGUAAUCGCGGAUCAGCAUGCCGCGGUGAAUACGUUCCCGGGUCUUGUACACACCGCCCGUCACACCAUGGGAGUGGGUUUUGCCAGAAGUAGUUAGCCUAACCGCAAGGGGGGCGAUACACGUCUU